GAUGAACGCUAGCUACAGGCUUAACACAUGCAAGUCGAGGGGAAACGGCAUUGAGUGCUUGCACUCUUUGGACGUCGACCGGCGCACGGGUGAGUAACGCGUAUCCAACCUUCCCAUUACUGUGGGAUAACCUGCCGAAAGGCAGACUAAUACCGCAUAGUCUUCGAUGACGGCAUCAGAUUUGAAGUAAAGAUUUAUCGGUAAUGGAUGGGGAUGCGUCUGAUUAGCUUGUUGGCGGGGUAACGGCCCACCAAGGCUACGAUCAGUAGGGGUUCUGAGAGGAAGGGCCCCCACAUUGGAACUGAGACACGGUCCAAACUCCUACGGGAGGCAGCAGUGAGGAAUAUUGGUAAAUGGACGGAAGUCUGAACCAGCCAAGUAGCGUGCAGGAUGACGGCCCUAUGGGUUGUAAACUGCUUUUGUAUGGGGAUAAAGUUAGGGACGUGUCCCUAUUUGCAGGUACCAUACGAAUAAGGACCGGCUAAUUCCGUG
rnacentral:rRNA from 1 species